rnacentral:rRNA from 1 species
CCAUGCCACCCUGAACAUGCCCAAUCCCGUCUUAUCUCAGAAACUAAGCAGAGUCAGGCCUGGUUAGUACUUGGAUGAGAGACCACCUAUGAAGACUGGGUG